GCUGAUGACCACCGCGCUUUUUAUUGACCAUUUUGCACGCAAACUGGAAAACCUGGCGUCGUCAUCUAUUCUUAAAGGGCAAGGCAACUAAGCCUGCAUUAAUGCCAACUUUUAGCGCACG
rnacentral:misc_RNA from 2 species